rfam:Rattus norvegicus chromosome 1, whole genome shotgun sequence.
GGGGAUUUAGCUCAGUGGUAGAGCGCGUGCCUAGCAAGCGCAAGGCCCUGGGUUCGGUCCCCAGCUCCG